rnacentral:lncRNA from 1 species
CCCAGCCACCUUCACGCCACCGCCCAGCUGCCCAGGAGCCCAGCCAGGACUGGCCAUACUGCCACCGCACACGUGCACACACGCCAACAGGCACCUGCCAUGCUGGCAUCUCUAUAAGGGCUCCAGUCCAGAGACCCUGGGCCAUUGAACUUGCUCCUCAGGCAGAGGCUGAGUCCGCACAUCACCUCCAGGCCCUCAGAACACCUGCCCCGGCCCCACCAUGCUCAUGGCGUCCACCACUUCCGCUGUGCCUGGGCAUCCCUCUCUGCCCAGCCUGCCCAGCAACAGCAGCCAGGAGAGGCCACUGGACACCCG